UACGUAGGGGGCAAGCGUUGUUCGGAAUUACUGGGCGUAAAGGGCGCGUAGGCGGCAUGGCAAGUCGGGAGUGAAAGCCCUGGGCUCAACCCGGGAACUGCUUUCGAAACUGCCAAGCUAGAGUGCGGAAGAGGCAACUGGAAUUCCCAGUGUAGCGGUGAAAUGCAUAGAUAUGUCACAGAACACCAAUUGCGAAGGCAGCUUACUAUGGUUUUAUUGACACUGAGGCACGAAAGCGUGGGGAUCAAACAGG
rnacentral:rRNA from 1 species